UUUGUAUAAUGGGUCAGCGACUUAUAUUCAGUGGCAAGGUUAACCAUCUAGGGGAGCCGUAGGGAAACCGAGUCUUAACUGGGCGUUCAGUCUCUGGAUAUAGACCCGAAACCAGGUGAUCUAGCCAUGGGCAGGUUGAAGGUUGAGUAACAUCAACUGGAGGACCGAACCGACUAAUGUUGAAAAAUUAGCGGAUGACUUGUGGCUAGGGGUGAAAGGCCAAUCAAACCUGGAGAUAGCUGGUUCUCCCCGAAAGCUAUUUAGGUAGCGCCUCGGACGAAUACUACUGGGGGUAGAGCACUGUUAAGGCUAGGGGGUCAUCCCGACUUACCAACCCUUUGCAAACUCCGAAUACCAGUAAGUACUAUCCGGGAGACACACGGCGGGUGCUAACGUCCGUCGUGGAGAGGGAAACAACCCAGACCGC
rnacentral:rRNA from 1 species